UUCAUUAAGGUCUUAAUGCUGUAAGGUACUUAAGCACAUGACUAAUUUUAAGCAAGUGGGUAGUCUAAUUGAUUUCAGUGGGAUUACUCACAUGUUUUAAGCUCGUCACAUGCUUAAGUACCUUGCUGGAUCUGAGCCUAAAACUCCAGUUGCCACUAGUUAUACAACUGUCUUUAAAUACAGAGUUAAAGAGUCAUUGGACCAGAGAGCAAGACUGACUCUGUAGCCUGGUGUUUGCACCUCUGCACCUGGGAGGUGCAAGACCCAUAGUCCAGUCUCUCUACUCCAUUGGCUCUUUAGUUAUUUAUAUACAGUGGAAUAUCUUCAGCAAGAAGGACUGAAGGGCCCACAUGUCAGAAUAUCUCCUAGUUGGAUAUCCCAGUGAAGAAAGCACUCUUCUGAAAGGUGUGGGAAAUCCCUGUUCACAUUUUUUCUCCUCUUCAGGCAGAGGGGAGAAUUGAAUGUGGGUGUCCCACAUGCCAAGGGAAUGCUCUAACCACUGGGCAAAAAUUAUAAGCUGUAAAAUCAAGUAUAAAAGGGAGCUCACUAAAUUCUAGAAGCUGUGUAUGAGGAUACAGAAAAGACAAGUACAAGUAUGCAGAAUGGUUCCCUCCUAGGAAAGGACAGGAUGCAGUGGUCCAUGAAGACAUUGCAUCUGAUAGUCUCCUGGAUGAAAUUUGCAGGAGCUAAAGAUUGAAAAGUCUCUGUGAUUGGCAAAAGCUGUGGAACUCCUUAUCAUCAGAGAUCAAGACGAGCCUAAGGCCAGGUCUACACU